UUUUUCAACUCUUGGAACAAUAUUAUGAUCAGUGAAUGAUUACAGAAUGAAGAUUGUAAAUGAAGAUUCCAUCCUAGAAAAAAACCUGAAUGAAAUAAUGAACUAAUAUCCAAGAAGGGACAAGUCCUGAAUAAAAGGUUGGUCCAAAGAGGUUACUUCAAUUUUCUUGCUGAUGUCCAGUUACUCCAUGUCCUCCCUAAAUGCCUCUGUGUCACCAGCGGUAAGGAAGGAAUACAGUACACCUUGGAAAAAGGAUCCUGUCAUCUUUGUAAAUCACAGAAUGUAGGAUGUUUCAGUUAUUGGAAUUGAAGAAUAGCAGAAUUUAUGGAUAGAGAAAUAUCUUUGAUGGCAACCAUAACUGUAUUCGAAUCAAGUCAAUA